ncrna:unclassified sequences Glutamine-II riboswitch (downstream peptide RNA)
UCACGUUCAUCUCAUCUCCGGCGAGGCGCAAUUCGACUCAAGCCAUGGAAUGGUGACCUGAG